ACAUUUUAUUGAGGGUUUACCAAUUGCCAGUCACUGUUGUAGGUGCUGUGGGGCAAGUGAGAUUAAGACCUUGCCCUCUAAGUAAUAUUAAAUAGAUGAUAAUGUGAUAGCAAGUGACAGCUGGAGUGAGAGACUGUGCUUGAGUUAGGGUAAUCAAGAAAGGUCUCAUAGAAGAAGUGGUUAGGUAAGACUGGGUGUAGUCAUGUGAAGAUGUAGAGAAGAACUUUCCAAGCAGAAGAGACACAAAAUGCAAAAGCUAUGAGAUGGGCAAGAGCAUAUGUGUUAAUAAGACAGAAGGAAAGCCUGUGUGGAUGAGCAAUGGGAAAAGAGAAGAGAAAAGAAAAGAAAGAUGAAGUCUGAAGUCUAAGGAACAGGAACAAGUCUGAAUCUUGUACAGCCUUGUAGCCCAUGCUGAGGCCUUUGAGAUACUAUAUGAACUGCUCCAACAUUCUGAAGAGAAGGUCUGGAUCAUUUAAGUAGGACUUGCAAAGAAAGUGGCCUAGAUCCUUAGCUGAGCUGAUCACUUACCUCAAACCUAUAAAGAAGUGGAGGGGCCAAGAAUAGGUGUUGGAUAUCAGCGGGAGAGUUUCAUCAAAGAGCUGUCAGUUUCAUCUCAACCUUACCCUCCAGGAGAGGAAGAAGAGAAGAAACUGUGAUUAUCAACCUGCGUUGGUGGUU
rnacentral:lncRNA from 1 species